CCCUCAAUAGGGGAAUAGGUAAAGCAUUCGGCUGUUAACCGAAGGGUCGUUGGUUCGAGCCCGACUCGGGGAG
rnacentral:tRNA from 1 species